UAGGGAAUCUUCCACAAUGGACGCAAGUCUGAUGGAGCAACGCCGCGUGAGUGAAGAAGGUUUUCGGACCGUAAAGCUCUGUUGUUGGUGAAGAAGGAUAGAGGUAGUAACUGGCCUUUAUUUGACGGUAAUCAACCAGAAAGUCACGGCUAACUACGUGCCAGCAGCCGCGGUAAUCGUAGGUGGCAAGCGUUGUCCGGAUUUAUUGGGCGUAAAGCGAGCGCAGGCGGAAGAAUAAGUCUGA
rnacentral:rRNA from 1 species